GAUGAACGCUAGCUAUAUGCUUAACACAUGCAAGUCGAGGGACCGGCGCACGGGUGAGUAACGCGUAUCCAACCGUCCCAUAACUAAGGGAUAACCCAGCGAAAGUUGGACUAAUACCUUUUGGUUAUGGAUGGGGAUGCGUCGGAUUAGCUUGUUGGCGUGGUAACGGCCCACCAAGGCAACGAUCAGUAGGGGUUCUGGGAGGAAGGUCCACCACAUUGGAACUGAGACACGGUCGAAACUCCUACGGGAGGCAGCAGUGAGGAAUAUUAGUCAAUGAACGCAAGUCUGAACCAGCCAAGUAGCGUGAAGGAUGGCGGCCUAUGGGUUGUAAACUGCUUUUAUAUGGGGAUAGGUACCAUAUGAGUAAGGACCGGCUAAUUCCGUGCCAGCAGCCGCGGUAAUUC
rnacentral:rRNA from 1 species